rnacentral:rRNA from 1 species
UUGCACGCUGGCGGCAUGCCUUACCCAUGCAAGUCGCACGGCAGCACGGGUGCUUGCACCUGGUGGCGAGUGGCGAACGGGUGAGUAAUACAUCGGAACAUGUCCUGUAGUGGGGGAUAGCCCGGCGAAAGCCGGAUUAAUACCGCAUACGAUCUACGGAUGAAAGCGGGGGACCUUCGGGCCUCGCGCUAUAGGGUUGGCCGAUGGCUGAUUAGCUAGUUGGUGGGGUAAAGGCCUACCAAGGCGACGAUCAGUAGCUGGUCUGAGAGGACGACCAGCCACACUGGGACUGAGACACGGCCCAGACUCCUACGGGAGGCAGCAGUGGGGAAUUUUGGACAAUGGGCGAAAGCCUGAUCCAGCAAUGCCGCGUGUGUGAAGAAGGCCUUCGGGUUGUAAAGCACUUUUGUCCGGAAAGAAAUCCUUGGCCCUAAUACGGUCGGGGGAUGACGGUACCGGAAGAAUAAGCACCGGCUAACUACGUG